CUGAGUUUGGGAGCGGGGGGUGGGGCGUGUGUGUGCACACGUCGGAGGUGUCUGUGUCCAUGCGUGUCCCCAUGCAUGUGCACUGUGUGUCCCCGUGCAGAUGGCAUGUGCUGUGCCUCCGUGUGUGCUGGGUGCCCGUCGGGGGGCAGGACAGGGUGUGGUGGGUGCGUGUCCCUUUGUGGGCUGCUUUUGCGUAGCCUCCAGCCCCACUGGCUCUUCAGGGGCAGCCCCAGCAGAAACAGCCGACUAGGUGGAAGGGGAAGAAGGUAAUCAAUGCACAAACCCCACAGUGUCACACGUGGGGGUUCAGCACCCUGCUGUUGCUCCAUCGGUAUUUAUGGUUUGCACUUCCUUAGAUUAGAUGAACAUUAGGGGCAAUUUCUCUUGUGAUUACUAAAAUAUAAUCUGAAAUCGCAGUCUUCUUUGGUACAAGGUGAUAAUAAUAAUCAGAGUUAGCAGAGAAAUGAAGUAGACCUUACUACAUUAGCAAGCAUUUAGGAAAACCUUAUGGCAGCUUCUUUGCUAACUCCAGCCAGGCAGUGGCUGCUCAGUAGCUGGUGAAACUGGACAGAGAAACUCUGAAUGUUUGUCCAUUCCUGGAGGUACCUCUGUGGCAGAGCUGGUGCUCCUGCCCCAUGUCACUGCUGGUGGCUUCCAACCAGAGUCCCAGGCAACCUUCUCCCAGCUCCAGUUCUCCCUAUUGGUAGCUCUUCUCUCAAUUUGGAGAGUGUUGGCAACAAGUGGAGGGGAGCUGAUCCCCCCCCCCCCCCUUGCAAGGGACUUUCCUCUUCUGUCGACCUUGCAGUUCCUGUUUGUUAUCAUCCCAGUACUGGAGCCCAGGCUGGCACAUCCCCUCUGCACAAAUCAUUGCUGUGUUUGCCUUCUGCUCCCUCCUUUGUUGCAUAAUUCAUAAUGAGGGAUUAAUGGAGCCUGCCCCCCCCUUCCUAUUUGCACACGAUCACAGGCUGCAUUUUUUUCAGAGCCAUUAGUUAUUCAUAAUGGUUUGCUGAGUAACGUCUGUGCUGCUCCUGGGGCUGCAGUUGGCUCCUGGUGAUUCAGCUCCUGCUGGACCUGGCACUGGCACUCUGGGCACUGCCUGCCUGGUGCCACCAUGCCAGGCUGCCAGCAUAAUGGGCAGGUGCUGCAAGUAUGAGAUGAGGUGUCUGAAACGGGAGAUUUUGGUUAAACAGGCAAUUGGGACUGAACAUCUCUCCUCCCUUGCUUUGUUUGGAGCAGGGGACAUGAAGGGGGCUUGGCUGAACUGUAGAGAUGCCUGGAAAGUGUCACUGUGUCAUCCCAGCUUUAACUCUACUGUCCCCAUGGAUUGAACUCUUGGGUCUGUGCUAGCAGAGGCACAAAUCUGUGUGUGGUCUGAGAUCUCCAAAACCUGACCGGUCAGGAGAGUGAGUGAGGCAGAGGCAGGCCUGGUGUCCCUGUUCUGUGUUCACAGGUGCUGAUCCCUCCCUGUCUCCUUGUAGGAGAAGCUGUUGUGGGGCCUGGAGGGCUGUGGCAGAGCCCUGGGCAUGGCCAUGCCUGGGCUCUCUAGACCAGCUCAGCUUUGCUGGCUGCUGGAGAGGGCCAGGGAGCAAAGGGCUCUCCGGGAUCUGCUGCUGCCUGUUAUCCUGGGGAGUUGGGUGCUUCUGGGAAGGGAACAGCCUCUGGGGAGCUCUGGGAUCUGCAGCAGCCCUGUCCUGCCUAUACAAAGCCACUGUGUCCACCUACGUCCAUCCUCAUCUUCCUUGCUGGCAUCUGUGCCAUCCCUGAGGAUGCCAUGGCAACCUGGGCUGCUGGAGGAGAAGCUGCAGUUCGGGUGCAAGUGCUUGGAGCCCUGUGUGCAGUUCUUGGUGCUGCAGCACUGGCCUGGGCAGGUUUGGGGGCUGUGAGAUGGGGUCCAGACACUCCACCAGCCUGGAGGUGCUGCUGGUGUGCGCGGGGCCAUGGUGCUUUCUCCUGGGAGGUGACACAACCGGGACACCGAGGUAAACAGCAGAGAUGCUGAGUGCUUCGUUGGGUCCACGGCAGCGUCGUCUCCCCUCAGACUGGGUGUUGGCCGCUCUCGUCAGUCUGUUGCAGCUUCCUGAAGCUAUCGUUAGGGUCUGCCCCAGCUCAGGGGAGGAGGGAGCUGCUUCCAGAUGCUUGUUGGGACAGCACUGGGUCUGUCUGGUUUGCGUGGGGUGCGGCUGUGACCCCCGGGCGUGGGCUGUAGCGAUGCUUCGGGAGGUGGGGGCUGAGGGACAGGCUCAGGGACAGGAUGGUGUCGGGCGAUCCCUGCUCCGGCUGCUCAAACGCCCCGCAAGGGGCUGCAGUGGCUGAGCCCGUGGCUUGGUGGAGCCUGGUGCAGCUCCUGGGGAAGGGGCUUCUCCCACGGCACCGGCCCCGGGACCAGCGGGGGGCACAGGUGCACCGUCUCGUUGCUCCACCGGCCUCGGCUAAACCGGGGCCGCGAGGCUGGUGCUAUUUCGGGUGUUUUGCAGCGCAGCCGGGGAUCGUCCCGCCCCCCGCCGGGGGCUGCCGGUGCCGCUAUUUCUGCCGCUAUUUCUGCAGCUCCUCCGCGCGCAGCCGCUUUUUAUACACGCGCCGGGACGAGCGCGGGUGGCGGGGGAGGUUUUGGAGCUGCCGUUUCGGGGGGGCAGCAGCUCUGCCCCCUGCGCCCCAGCUGGGGCACGGCCUGUGUCCUCUGACCCGCGGGGGGUCCGAACGCCCGGCACGGGGCAGCCGGGGGGGGUCGCAAGCACCUCAGUGUGCUGGUAACUCGCUGCAGUCUGGUCCCAUGCUCUGCUGCUCCAGGAGGAUGCUGCGGGGGUGUGUUACUAACUAGGGCUGAUGAUGGGUUCCUGCAGCAUCCUCAGGUUUUCCCUGCAGCCCUGAGCAGGGCUGAAGCCUGUUGCAGGUUGGUAUCUGCUUUAAUUUUGACCCUGAUUCCUCCUGUUGGAAAAAUGAAGAAGGUGACUGCUCUGGUGUCCUGCAGCAUCGCCCCUCAGCAGGGGCAAAGCUCUUCAGGGCUGGAGGGGGUGUCCAGGGUGACCUGCACCCUUCUUUUGCUCUGGCAUAGCCAUAAUCGAGCCCUUCUCAUGUCCCUGGGAAGCUGUGGCCCCUGGAACUCCAAGUCUGGACACUGUGGUGUAGCAGGGAUGAAUCCUGGGCAUGGGCUUGCUCUCUCCAGUUCUGGAACUUGUGGGCCCCAGACCCUCCCUGGACUGGACGACCUCAACAUUUCCCUUCUUGCUUUUGGGAGCACCCCAGCUCUAAGCCUCUCCUGCCCAGAGGAUGAAGAGCAGCAGGGCUGGAUGGGAGGCCUGUGGGUACUCCUGAGAUCUGGAAUGCUGCUCGCCUCCUCCCACCAGCCAAUCUGCCCCUCUCUGCUGGACUCACUGGUCUUCCCAGGCCAGGGUGUCCCACAGGGAUGGGUUAUCCCCAGCCACAGAGGGGCUAUGUCCAAAGCAGCAGCCUCCUGUCCCACCUUACUGGGAUGCAGCUUCUACAGAGCAUCUGGUGAGCAGGGCUCAGGUCUCCAUGGCAACCAUGGGGUACAAAUAGUGCAGCAGCUCUGAGGAGCUGUUGGGGCUGUGAGCUCCUGGGAUAGGCGUUUGAGGGCACAGGGGUCACUGGGUGCAGGGCUCACUGUGCUGCUGGGAUCUGCUGCCUGCAUCAGGGGCUGUCAGUGCCCAAGGUGAGCAGGGCAGGGGGCUCAGGGUGUGGGGUUUGGGAUGUGGGGCUCAGGACACAGUGCUUCCUCAUCUUCCCCCAGCAGGAUGAUUGGUACAUUCCUUCAUUUUCCAUCUGCAAACAAAGCAGGAAGCAGCAUCUGGACAGAACAAGCAGAAUUCAGGAGCAGGGAUCCUGGAGCCAGCCCUGUACAACUGCAGCACUUUGCCCUGCCCUGGGGAUCCUGGUGCCUUUCUCCUCUGAUCCACAUCUGGGGUGGGAGCAAAGUUUAAACCUCCCUGUAAGUGAGGAGUGUUUGGAGAUGGGGGAGAUCUGGGUCACUCUCCAUCCUCUGCUCAAUGUGUGGUGCAUUAAUUAGGCUUUGACUCUAAUGAGUUGUGUUAUGCUCUGAAAAUAGAACUGCCACUGUUAUGUGUCGCCCGGCAGCCAGUGCUGCUCAUUGUCUAAUUACCAGGUGAUAUUUUGCACAAUUAACUCGAUGUGCUGGUCCUCGGGUAACUGUGAUUUCCAUCCCUGGGAUUCAAGGACCUGGGGUAUGGCAGAGGGUGGGAUGGGAGCUGGUGGGCUCAGGGGAUGCUGUGCCAGGGGUCAUCCCCCUAGCUUGGAGCAGGCAUGGAGCUGCCCAGAAAAUCCUUCCUUUUCCCUCUCCUUUUGCACGUGGGCCACAGGUAAUGUGGGAAUAUGUUUUGAAAACAGCUGGAAAAGCAUUUGCAAACCUUCUCCUCUCUUUACAAAGCUGUGUGCUGGGGGGACCACCUUUCCUGGGAGGUCCCAGAGACACACCUCCCCCCCUCACCUGUCCCUGCGUCCCUGCCCCGCUGUCCUCACUCCUCUCCUGGCUCCCUCUUUCUCAUCCCCACUCUUGGAGGUUGGCAUCACAACACACCUCUCUCGUUGUGCCUUUCCAUCCUUUUUUCUUUGGCAUCUGGACACUCUCACACCUCCAGGCUGUUGUGGUUUUUUUUUUUUUUCCCCUCUCAGUUGCACUCUAGCAGAUCAUCAGAGAAGCUCUUUGGAUGGGAAGGCAGGGAACGUGCUCUGUGCCAGGCUGGAAAACCGCAGAACCUGGGAGGAGCGAGGCGGGGGAAGCUGAGGACAGCUGCAGCUCUGCUCCAUCUCGCCGUGGGUGUCCCAUGUCCCACCAGCUGUCAUGGUAAUGCCACCUGCUCUGAGCUCCUGGAAUCCACAUGGCACCGUGGCUUCCCUGCUCCUGACCGAGGAACUGCUUUUGCCCAGAGCAAAGGGUUAAGAGCUGAACAAGAUCAUUUUAACUCCCUGCUGCAGUAACCACCAAACACAGAAGGAUUUUUGCCCCUGACCAAUUUCCUGCUUCUCAGCGGGGCUGCCCUGCCCUGGGGACUGCACGGAGCUCACGUGUCCCAUCACUGUACUCAUGCUUUCUGCUCUGUGGGGACUGAGGCCAUGAGCUGGCACCCAUGUUUCAUCCCUAUCUACUGCUGAACUCCCAUUCCAAGCAUGUUUUGUGCUCCAGGCACAUGUCCUGGUCCCUUGGGAGCAGAUGGCCCAGUGCUGCUCACCCCCUUGGACAGUGUGUGCUGAGCUGCAGCAGUUGAACACAGUGCUGGGGGUCUUGGCUUUCCUGGCAGCGCAGAUCCUUGCACCAGCUGCGGUCGGCGCGGGCUGCGAGCACUGGCCUCUGCAAUCAGUUACAGUGCAGAAGCUGGGCUGGAAAAGUGAUAAGGAGACGAGAGUGGCCUCAGGAGACGUCUUCCCCCACCCCCUAAAACCCGAGAGCAGCAAACGCAAGCAGCAAGUUAGACGGGUAACACGUGAAAUCAAGGUCGGGACAUCACCGGCUGCCUCUUCUCCCUGGUCGGCACCGUCUGUGGGAUCCGGGCGAGAAGGCGCCGGGGUUUUGUGCGGGCGAGGGCGGGCGGUGCGGCGCUGGGACAGUCCUGGGGGUGCGAGUGUCCCCUGCCCGCGCCGAGCCCCAGCCUGCCUGCGCUGCCCCAGCCCCUGCCCGCGCCCCGGGGGCUGCCUCUGCUCUCCCCUCAACCCGGACACUCCCCAUUCACUAAUUUCAUAACUUCAGUCCCCUCCCUGCGGGGUGGGACCGUCCCCCUGGGGCUGAGCCCGGCACCCCGGGGCGGGUGGGGACCUGCCCAACGCCGGAUUAAGCUCUAUAAAUCGCGGGGUUUCGGCUGGGCUGAUUCAUCUGACGCUGCAGAAAGGCACCAACAGCCGCCGUGGUGCUGCUGGGGGACGCAUCAGCACUGGUUUCAGCCCUGUUCCCCCAGUUCCUGCUGCCUGCCCUGGCUGCUAUGGAGGCUGUUGAGUGCCAGCCCAUCCUGUGCCCCCCCUCCCCGCAGCACUGUCCCCCCGCUCUCCUCCCAGGAGCAACUCCUGCCCUUCCACGUCCUUGAGGGCUUCAUCCUGGUGUGGGGGCUCAGCUGUGGCACCAGGCAGGGAGAGGGUAAUAGCACAUGGGGGGGUUGAAUGGUGCCUUUUGGGGAGCCAUGGUGGGAAUCACCUCUGCAUGGCUGGCACUGGUGAUCCCCAGUGCUCAGUGAUGCUGGUGAAUUUGGUGCAGUGGAUGGCACUGGGCUGGAUUGUGGGACUCCCCACAAGUACAUUUGGGCUGCAAUGAGGCCAAAUUCCACCCAGGUCCCAAAGCUGUGCCCUGGAGCAGAUGUUUCCUGGACGUGGGACUGCAGGGAUUGGUAGAGCCCUCACUGGUGCUGUGGGGCUGGCACAGCCAGCUUUUAUGUAGUUUCUCAGGUGAAGACCAGUGAGUCCUGGGAACUUCAACACAGGACCCUAACCUGCAAUCCCGUGACCCUGAGUCUGGGGCAGCUCCAGCUUGAAUUUAUUCUCUUCUCGGUCCAGGUUUAUUCACAACUUUAACAACAAGAGAUGGCGACAGUGCUGGCAGCACCGUCACAGCUUGCAGCCUCCUCCCUGAUGGAGAGCACCAGGACAUCCUCUUUGUCACUCAGCUUUCCAGAAGAAUGAAAAUUGAAUAAAAGAUCAAAGUUCAGUGAA